CUUUGUGUUGUAUUUGUAAACAAUCCAUGUCAAUCAUAUCCACGGUCUGUUUUUUGUGGUUUUUUUCAUGUCUGUGGUAAACGCUGACGGUCGCGAAGUUGUUCGUGACUGAACAUCAUUGCAUUAGGCGAUGUCAAACCGAAUAUGCGACUUAAACUACUGUUUGCACAUUAGGCAUUACAGAGGGUGUGCUAAGGACAUCGGCAAUUCGGCAAGUAGAUGAGUUCCAGUUUAAAGGCUUACAAACGUGUGCAAAGUGCCUUCUCACUACUGCCACACUUUAAUGCAUUUGGCGACCCCUACUGGACAUUACAGCUGGACUCGGACCCUCUGCAGUUUCCCCUCCGGCGUUAAAGCUGUUGGAGGCGAUGCCAUAGCCCUGUACUGUCCGUCACGUAGACAGAUGGUCCAGAAGCCGUUCUCCGGCCUCGCAGGUACUUCCUUGUCUCUCU